GGAGCUUUACACAGCUUUGUGGAAGCACAAAAAACAAAAUUUAACAAAACUUACAAAUCCAGCUUUUUCCUGCAGCUCAGUAAUCGUGUAUAAAUUAUACAUUUGUUCCUCAUCCCUGCGCAACUCAUUCGGAAUGAGUCAACCCGGACUGAUCAACCUGCAGGACAUGCCUGGAUGAAUUCCUGUCAUCCUCUCCUACAGCAUAAGAAAACAAUCCGUCGAUAUUAUAUCUGUUCUGGAUCACUUGCAGCGUCAUUUGGAAGUCAAACUCGGUGAUAUCAUAAUCCUUCGUGGUGACAUUCCAUCCGCCAAGUCCCAGUAGAAGAUCAAGCAUUGGUUGUGACCCUAAGGCCUCCACAGUCUCAUUAACAUCCAGACAGGAUUCAUAGUAGAGUUUUGCCUUUUGUUCCGCUUUGGAUUUGAGUGUUUCGAUGGGUUUCUCGAGGACACGCUUGAUGACCAUUUGAUUCUGUUGUUCUAGCUUCAUGAAUGUCGACCAGGUGGUUUUGCCAUCCGGGAUUGGAUUGGCUUUCAACCAGCCGUUGCAGGCAUACGCAUAGAAAUCAUCGCAUGGGUUGAUUGAUGAGUCCAUGGAUGCUAAAAUGUCGCUGGAGAUGUGGAUGCAGGUGGCGUUUAAACAUGGCGGACCCAAAUCGGAUUCAACGCGGUUUGGUGUUGUUGGGACUUGAUUCGACUGGUUGUCGAGUUUGUUUUGCUGGAAAUUAUGUUGGAUAUUAAUUAAUUGGGAGGUGAUUAGAUGAUUUUGUGUUGUGGUACCUUUUCUUUGAGGUUAUUCAAGCGGAUAUCGCGUAAAUGGCGAUCGGCUGAACUUAGAAGGAAAGCCAGGACCAUAACGACGAAUAGAAGCGUGCCAACCAGUAACAGAAGGGCUUUCUCAAGCAUGGAACGACGUUUCCACAUGCUGGUACCUGUGUGGUAUCUUAUAUGUGUUGCACUUGAACUUAUUCCUGAAAUAAACACGAAAAACUUAGAAAUUUAAAAAUUAAACGAAAAUUUUAACGAAAAAAACUUUAACCUUAAAUUAAACCUAGUAAAUAUUAAUGUUAUGCAACUUGUUAUACAUCAAAUGAAAGAUAAUUUAAUUGGCUAUAAAAUUAAAUUUGUUUAAUUUAAAAAAAUUAAUUAGUUUAAAAGUUAUAACAAAAUUAAUAUUCAAUUACAAGUUUUGAGGUUAAAUUAUAAUUUUCAAUUUCAAAACUUUAUAUCUCCGCGAAUAUUUGAUAUAUUUAAAUGGAAUAACAAACAAUCAACGUGCAA